UUUCCCACCGGAGCUUGCUCCACCGGGAAAAGAGGAGUGGCGAACGGGUGAGUAACACGUGGGUAACCUGCCCAUCAGAAGGGGAUAACACUUGGAAACAGGUGCUAAUACCGUAUAACAAUCGAAACCGCAUGGUUUCGUUUUGAAAGGCGCUUUACGGUGCCGCUGAUGGAUGGACCCGCGGUGCAUUAGCUAGUUGGUGAGGUAACGGCUCACCAAGGCCACGAUGCAUAGCCGACCUGAGAGGGUGAUCGGCCACAUUGGGACUGAGACACGGCCCAAACUCCUACGGGAGGCAGCAGUAGGGAAUCUUCGGCAAUGGACGAAAGUCUGACCGAGCAACGCCGCGUGAGUGGAGAAGGUUUUCGGAUCGUAAAACUCUGUUGUUAGAGAAGAACAAGGGUGAGAGUAACUGUUCACCCCUUGACGGUAUCUAACCAGAAAGCCACGGCUAACUACGUGCCAGCAGCCGCGGUAAUACGUAGGUGGCAAGCGUUGUCCGGAUUUAUUGGGCGUAAAGCGAGCGCAGGCGGUUUCUUAAGUCUGAUGUGAAAGCCCCCGGCUCAACCGGGGAGGGUCAUUGGAAACUGGGAGACUUGAGUGCAGAAGAGGAGAGUGGAAUUCCAUGUGUAGCGGUGAAAUGCGUAGAUAUAUGGAGGAACACCAGUGGCGAAGGCGGCUCUCUGGUCUGUAACUGACGCUGAGGCUCGAAAGCGUGGGGAGCAGACAGGAUUAGAUACCCUGGUAGUCCACGCCGUAAACGAUGAGUGCUAAGUGUUG
rnacentral:rRNA from 1 species